UACUGUCAUGGUCUCCGCUCCUCGUCAGCUGACAGCCGUCAGGUGUUUUGUUUUUGUUUACCUUUCUCUCUCACCUCUGCUCUCCCUUUCUCUCUCGCCCUCUUCCAUUCUCUCUUUCUCCUGCCGGGGCGGAGCUCAGUAUGGGCUCCUGCCCCUGGCCUACGCACCUGGAGGUGAUCAGCACAUCUGUCGCUGAUCAUGAAAGAUUGGAACCCUUCUUAAGAGGGCGAGUCUGCUCUACUCGUCGCUGGAUCGUUGAGUCAUCAGCAUUGCCUCUGGACUUGUUCUUCCCCUGUGCCUGGCGACUGAACGGGAGCAAGAGAGAUAAAGGAGAGGAGAUGUGCUAGGACUGAAUGGAAACUUUCCCUUCCUGGACUCCUGCCUCUUUCACUCCUGGACCCUGGAACCCCGGCCCCUUUUUCCUUUGACACUAUUAUGUGUAUAUAUGAAUUCCACUGUAGGAAACACUGUAAAUAAAUGCACCUUUUGAAGACA